rnacentral:rRNA from 1 species
UACGGAGGAUGCGAGCGUUAUCCGGAUUUAUUGGGUUUAAAGGGUGCGCAGGCGGAGGUGCAAGUCAGCGGUCAAAUUGCGGGGCUCAACCCCGUACUGCCGUUGAAACUGCAUCCCUUGAGUGCGCGAGAAGUAUGCGGAAUGCGUGGUGUAGCGGUGAAAUGCAUAGAUAUCACGCAGAACUCCGAUUGCGAAGGCAGCAUACCGGCGCGCAACUGACGCUCAUGCACGAAAGCGUGGGUAUCGAACCAGG